AGGUGCGAUCACACUAGCACUAAUGCACCGGAUCCCAUCUGAACUCCGAAGUUAAGCGCCCUUGGGUGAGAAUAGUACUAAGAUGGGCUUUGUCACAGGACUUUCAAAGACACAGGCA
rnacentral:rRNA from 1 species